GACGAACGCUGGCGGCGUGCUUAACACAUGCAAGUCGAACGGAAAGGCCCUGCUUUUGUGGGGUGCUCGAGUGGCGAACGGGUGAGUAACACGUGAGUAACCUGCCCUUGACUUUGGGAUAACUUCAGGAAACUGGGGCUAAUACCGGAUAGGAGCUCCUGCUGCAUGGUGGGGGUUGGAAAGUUUCGGCGGUUGGGGAUGGACUCGCGGCUUAUCAGCUUGUUGGUGGGGUAGUGGCUUACCAAGGCUUUGACGGGUAGCCGGCCUGAGAGGGUGACCGGCCACAUUGGGACUGAGAUACGGCCCAGACUCCAACGGGAGGCAGCAGUGGGGAAUAUUGCACAAUGGGCGGAAGCUUGAUGCAGCAACGCCGCGUGCGGGAUGACGGCCUUCGGGUUGUAAACCGCUUUCGCCUGUGACGAAGCGUGAGUGACGGUAAUGGGUAAAGAAGCACCGGCUAACUACGUG
rnacentral:rRNA from 1 species